rnacentral:rRNA from 1 species
UACAGAGGUCUCAAGCGUUGUUCGGAUUCAUUGGGCGUAAAGGGUGCGUAGGUGGCGCUGUAAGUCGGGUGUGAAAUCCUGAGGCUUAACCUCGGAACUGCAUUCGAUACUGCGGCGCUUGAGGACUGGAGAGGAGACUGGAAUUCAUGGUGUAGCAGUGAAAUGCGUAGAGAUCAUGAGGAAGACCAGUGGCGAAGGCGGGUCUCUGGACAGUUCCUGACACUGAGGCACGAAGGCCAGGGGAGCAAACAGG